UACAGAGGGUGCGAGCGUUAAUCGGAAUUACUGGGCGUAAAGCGUGCGUAGACGGUUAUUUAAGUCGGAUGUGAAAGCCCCGGGCUCAACCAAGGAAGUGCAUCCGAAACUGCAGAGCUUGAGUACUUAAGAGGAUCGCGGAAUUCCCGGUGUAGAGGUGAAAUUCGUAGAUAUCGGGAGGAACACCAGUGGCGAAGGCGGCGAUCUGGGAAGAUACUGACGCUGAGGUGCGAAAGCGUGGGGAGCAAACAGG
rnacentral:rRNA from 1 species